CAAACCGCCAGGGGUCGCUGCCGAGCCGCAGCAAAUCCAACUGAUCCCCACGUCUUGGCCAUUCACCUCUGAAACUUAUCCUGAAUCUGGCAGCAUCGGUCCCCCCUCUGUCAUCAUCGCCCUGCUCCGAGCCUCACAUGGCCACGACCACAUCCUCUCCACUGGCCUCCCUGCCUCCAGUCCUGCCCUAGCCCUCCUCCACAGAAGCCCCCCAUCACUUGCAAAAUAAAGGCCAAAGCCUUAAGUCUG
rnacentral:lncRNA from 1 species